ACGCUGGCGGCAGGCCUAACACAUGCAAGUCGAGCGGUAGAGAGAAGCUUGCUUCUCUCGAGAGCGGCGGACGGGUGAGUAAUGCCUAGGAAUCUGCCUGGUAGUGGGGGAUAACGUUCGGAAACGGACGCUAAUACCGCAUACGUCCUACGGGAGAAAGCAGGGGACCUUCGGGCCUUGCGCUAUCAGAUGAGCCUAGGUCGGAUUAGCUAGUUGGUGGGGUAAUGGCUCACCAAGGCGACGAUCCGUAACUGGUCUGAGAGGAUGAUCAGUCACACUGGAACUGAGACACGGUCCAGACUCCUACGGGAGGCAGCAGUGGGGAAUAUUGGACAAUGGGCGAAAGCCUGAUCCAGCCAUGCCGCGUGUGUGAAGAAGGUCUUCGGAUUGUAAAGCACUUUAAGUUGGGAGGAAGGGCAGUUGCCUAAUACGUAACUGUUUUGACGUUACCGACAGAAUAAGCACCGGCUAACUCUGUGCCAGCAGCCGCGGUAAUACAGAGGGUGCAAGCGUUAAUCGGAAUUACUGGGCGUAAAGCGCGCGUAGGUGGUUUGUUAAGUUGGAUGUGAAAUCCCCGGGCUCAACCUGGGAACUGCAUUCAAAACUGACUGACUAGAGUAUGGUAGAGGGUGGUGGAAUUUCCUGUGUAGCGGUGAAAUGCGUAGAUAUAGGAAGGAACACCAGUGGCGAAGGCGACCACCUGGACUGAUACUCACACUGAGGUGCGAAAGCGUGGGGAGCAAAC
rnacentral:rRNA from 1 species